UACGGGGGGGGGCAAGCGUUGUUCGGAAUUACUGGGCGUAAAGGGCGCGUAGGCGGCCUGCUAAGUCGGAUGUGAAAUCCCUCGGCUCAACCGAGGAACUGCAUCCGAUACUGGCGGGCUUGAAUCCGGGAGAGGGAUGUGGAAUUCCAGGUGUAGCGGUGAAAUGCGUAGAUAUCCGGAGGAACACCGGUGGCGAAGGCGGCUUUCUGGACCGUAACUGACGCUGAGACACGAAAGCGUGGGUAGCAAACAGG
rnacentral:rRNA from 1 species